CCAGGAGGGCUCCCGGGAGGUGUGUGACACGCACAGACCCCUGCCUCACUUCUCAGCGGCAGGGGCGGCAAGUCUCACUCCCCAAGCCCCGCCGCGUGAGCAGGAGGAGGACUGGGCUUAGGAAGAGAGGCCGCGGUGGAAACUGGAAAUAGGACAGACCCUCAAGGGAGCAUCAAGGCGCGGCUCACGGAGGCCGGAAGUCCGCGCCAGGCCCCGGAGGGCGCUUGAGCGAGAAGCGGAAGCUAGUCCACCGAAACCUUGGGUCCAUCUGAGACUCAGGGGACCCACGCACUUAGAAGGCCCCUUGGUGUCUGUGCCGGGAGCCGGAGCUGGGGGGCUUCUCUCUCUCCCUUGCCCCUCCCCACGAGUGCGCUGCGGGCACACGUGAUCCUCCGUGGCAUCCCGGAGUCUUUCCGAAAGUCAUAGAGGGCAUUUGGAGAAAACUGAAUACGGACGCUGCAUCAGAAAAUAGUGGAUUAUGCCAGCGUCGACCUGCGAACCCACAGCUGCCAGCAGGAGCCAGAGAGGAAAGUAUGGAUACCCAAGCAUGUCUGUGCCUCUGGCACAUCAGGAGCCUUCUAGAAAACUAGAGACACCUCUGGAGAAAAUGACUGGGGAGUCCCUACAUUAACAGAGAUUGAGUUCCUGCUACUCUGUAGAAAUAAGAAUGAAGUAGUUAACAUUUCCUGGACAACUAUAUUUGUAUCCUGACAUUUAUAUUCACUAUUUCAGAAUUUGAUUUUUUUAAAUGAGAAUAUAAGCAUGUAUUAUUUAUGUAAAUUAAAAAUGACUUUGGGGUGC